UUCACCAAAGUAAUAAUUUAACUUAUUAUAUUUAAUUAAAUGUUAACUAUUUUAGCUUAAUUGUUUUGGUGUUAUUUAGCAACUUCACGCGUUUCCCUUGAUAAUAUAUCCAAAAAUAGAUGCUAUUAAUUUUCAUAAUAAUUAAAUAAUUUAAAAAACGAGUUCUUUAAAACCUAUUCAGCCGUUUUUGCACACGUUUCCUGUUCUCAAUUCUGGCCCAUAUUUAAUAGAAUAAUUGGACUCGAAAAUAAAUGGAUUUUUAGCUGAAAAAUAACAACAAAGUGCUGGGUGAAAUCGUGUGCGUUCAAUAUGGUCAUCUUGGGGUAACCCGAACAGUUGAACAGCGGAACGGAAGGCACGUGCCUCAAAGACAAGAGUUCCUGUUAGGUAGAGCUGUAUUUUAUGGGCGAAACCCUUCCCCUUCUCUCCUUCAGCAGAAAUGGAACGAAAUCAACGAACUCUAACCUUCAUUUGCCGUCAUAGAUCACAAGUGCCGUCUUUUUCCAUUUCCCCUACCUGCUCCCUUUGCGCCCCAGUUGGCCAAGUUAGCGAGCAAAGCAUUUUUGGUUUUCCGUUUGUACUUGGAAUACUUGAAAUAUAAGUUUUGAAUUAUUGUUGAAGGGAAAACUAAAGAAAUUGUUGCUGUAUACUGAAAUAAGAUCGUAGUAAUUUUAUUAAAAUGUUAUUUUUACUGAGCGCAAAACCAAAUCUAUUUAAUGUAAUUCGUUUUCAGUAAUUUAAACUGAUAACCUGAUAAUACACUACACUAUUCUGUGAAAUUGUAUAUUAAUAUUUCGAUAAAAAAAAUUGAAAUAAUGAAAAGUUUUAGUGAGAUAUCAAUAAAAUUCGGAGAGGCUUUAAUAAAUCUACCUAUCUACUUUUGUGAAUUAAAAUAUACGCAUUUAUUAAAAUCAUGUUUAAAAAACGAACAAAUAUUGAUUGAAUGGCGAGCAUCUGAAAAUGCACAGUUGAUUGUAGCUUUCUCACUUGUUGCUGAUGCUUCGUUACGGAAAUGUAUAGAAAUUUGUUAGCGGAAACGUUGGGCAAUUAGCCCUCAUG